rnacentral:rRNA from 1 species
AUUGAACGCUGGCGGCAUGCUUUACACAUGCAAGUCGAACGGUAACAGGCCGCAAGGUGCUGACGGGUGGCGAACGGGUGAGUAAUGCAUCGGAACGUGCCCAGUCGUGGGGGAUAACGCAGCGAAAGCUGUGCUAAUACCGCAUACGAUCUAUGGAUGAAAGCGGGGGACCGUAAGGCCUCGCGCGAUUGGAGCGGCCGAUGUCAGAUUAGGUAGUUGGUGGGGUAAAGGCCCACCAAGCCGACGAUCUGUAGCUGGUCUGAGAGGACGACCAGCCACACUGGGACUGAGACACGGCCCAGACUCCUACGGGAGGCAGCAGUGGGGAAUUUUGGACAAUGGGCGCAAGCCUGAUUCAGCAAGGCCGCGUGCAGGAAGAAGGCCUUCGGGUUGUAAACUGCUUUUGUACGGAACGAAACGGUCUGGGUUAAUACCCUGGGCUAAUGACGGUACCGUAAGAAUAAGCACCGGCUAACUACGUGCCAGCCGCCGCGGUAAGAC